UGUUAAAAUUUGCAUCCAUUUCUACUAUUAAAAAACUAGUGUAACUAACAUAAUAACUAGACAGUUACACGUGAUGCAUCACAUGUAUCUCAUGUCGGCAUACAUGACCAAUUUUUAACAGUAGAAAUGGAUGGAACUUUUAACA
rfam:Gossypium raimondii Chr09_contig_489, whole genome shotgun sequence.